AGACUCCUACGGGAGGCAGCAGUGGGGAAUAUUGCACAAUGGGCGCAAGCCUGAUGCAGCAAUGCCGCGUGUGUGAAGAAGGCCUGCGGGUUGUAAAGCACUUUUAUUAGGAAAGAAAAACCCGGAGAUAAUAUCUCCGGCAUUGACGGUACCUAAAGAAUAAGCACCGGCUAACUAAGUGCCAGCAGCCGCGGUAAUACUUAGGGUGCGAGCGUUAAUCGGAAUUACUGGGCGUAAAGCGAGUGUAGGCGGCUGCGUAAGUCGGAUGUGAAAGCCCUGGGCUCAACCUGGGAACUGCAUUCGAAACUGCGUAGCUAGAGUUUGGUAGAGGUAAGUGGAAUUCCGGGUGUAGCGGUGAAAUGCGUAGAUAUCCGGAGGAACAUCAGUGGCGAAGGCGGCUUACUGGACCAAAACUGACGCUGAGGCUCGAAAGCGUGGGGAGCAAACAGGAUUAGAUACCCUGGUAGUCCCAGCCGUAAACGGUGUGCACUUGGUGGGGGGGGGGAAUUGACCCCCCCCGUGCCGGAGCUAACGCGUUAAGUGCACCGCCUGGGGAGUACGGCCGCAAGCUAAAACUCAACAAAUUGACGGGGCCCGCACAAGAGG
rnacentral:rRNA from 1 species